AGUUUUUACAUUAUACUCUAUUACCAUGUGAAUGAGUAUAGCAUGGAGAAGUGUGGUAUACAUCCAAGUUUAUUGUGUGCCAGAUGUUGGGUAUGCAUGCCCUGUGCCAAAGCUAGCCAGGAACUGACUGUCAUUCAUUGUGCCUUGGCAUGAUGGAAUGGAACAGCAGAAGUAAACAGAGAAAACACAGAGGACGUGCAUUGGUUUGCUGGAAGUAGUAAACAAACAUGUUUAUCCAGAAUUUCAAACUAUGCUGUCUCCAUAGUUAGAUUUACAAACGGCUCCAGACUACAGUAGGUACCUUACUUGCUCCUUAAGGGGAGGUGUUCGUUCCCCCUCCCACUCCCAUCCUUUUUUGUUUGCCAUGUCACAGUCUCAUUUUAAACCAGAA